rnacentral:rRNA from 1 species
AUACGGAGGGUGCGAGCGUUAUCCGGAAUUACUGGGUUUAAAGGGUGCGUAGGCGGCCUGGUAAGUCAGGGGUGAAAGUCCAGGGCUUAACCGUGGGAUUGCCUUUGAUACUGCUGGGCUUGAAUGAGGUUGAGGUGGGCGGAAUGUGGCAUGUAACGGUGAAAUGUGUAGAUAUGGCAUAGAACACCGAUUGCGAAGGCAGCUUACUGGACCUUUAUUGACGCUGAGGCACGAAAGCGUGGGGAGCGAACAGGAUUAGAUACCCUAGUAGUCC